GAUGAAGAACGUAGCGAAAUGCGAUACUUGGUGUGAAUUGCAGAAUCCCGUGAACCAUCGAGUCUUUGAACGCAAGUUGCGCCCGAAGCCAUCAGGUUGAGGGCACGUCUGCCUGGGCGUCACAUAUCGUUGCCCAAUGCCUAUUGCAGUGCAAUAGGAAUUUCUAGGGCGAAUGAUGGCUUCCCGUGAGCGUUGUUGCCUCGCGGUUGGUUGAAAAUCGAGUCCUUGAUAGGGUGUGCCAUGGUAGAUGGUGGUCGAGUUAGAACGAUACCGAUCAUGUGCAUGCUCCCCAAAAUAUGGCUUCUAUGACCCACACGCGUCUUUUGACGCUCAUGACGAGACCUCAGGUCAGGCGGGGCUACCCGCUGAAUUUAAGCAUAUCAAUAAGCGGAGGA
rnacentral:misc_RNA from 1 species